AACGAACGCUGGCGGCAUGCCUAACACAUGCAAGUCGAACGAGACCUUCGGGUCUAGUGGCGCACGGGUGCGUAACGCGUGGGAACCUGCCCUUAGGUUCGGAAUAACUCCCCGAAAGGGGUGCUAAUACCGGAUAAUGUCUUCGGACCAAAGAUUUAUCGCCUUUGGAUGGGCCCGCGUUGGAUUAGCUAGUUGGUAGGGUAAAAGCCUACCAAGGCGACGAUCCAUAGCUGGUCUGAGAGGAUGAUCAGCCACACUGGGACUGAGACACGGCCCAGACUCCUACGGGAGGCAGCAGUGGGGAAUAUUGGACAAUGGGCGGAAGCCUGAUGCAGCAAUGCCGCGUGAGUGAUGAAGGAAUUCGGGUUGUAAAGCUCUUUUCCACGGGAUGAAAAUGACAGUACCGGGAGAAUAAGCUCCGGCUAACUACGUG
rnacentral:rRNA from 1 species